UCCAACAUCGGCACCCAUAUAUCACCCUGCAGCCCAAGACUGGUCAGUACCUGGAUGGGAGACCUCCUGGGGAAACCAGGUGCUGUUGGAA
rnacentral:rRNA from 1 species